GAGGUCUUAGCUUAUUUAAAGUGUUUGAGUUGCAUUCAGAAGAUGUGUAUUAAAUUAUAACAGGCCUU
rnacentral:tRNA from 1 species